rnacentral:rRNA from 1 species
GACGAACGCUGGCGGCGUGCUUCAUACAUGCAAGUCGAACGAGAAGCUGACUUCGGUCAGUGGAGAGUGGCGGACGGGUGAGUAAUAUGUAGGAAAUCUGCCUUUAGGAGGGGGACAACAGAGGGAAACUUCUGCUAAUACCCCAUAUAAGCGUAGCUGAAAUGCUAUUCUUGAAAACUCCGGUGCCUAAAGAUGAGCCUGCAUCUGAUUAGCUAGUUGGUAGUGUAAUGGACUACCAAGGCGACGAUCAGUAGCUGGUUUGAGAGGAUGAUCAGCCACAAUGGGACUGAGACACGGCCCGUACUCCUACGGGAGGCAGGAGUAGGUAAUUUUGCGAAAUGGGCGAAAGCCUGACGCAGCAACGCCGCGUGAACGAUUAAGCCCUUCGGGGUGUAAAGUUCUGUCAGUGGGGACGAAACUUGACGGUACCCACAGAGGAAGCACCGGCUAACUCCGUG